rnacentral:lncRNA from 1 species
UGCCUCUGUUUUGGUAAAAAGCUGAGGGAUGGGCCUGGAGAAAUGCAACCGAUCAGAUUAAUAGACAGAGCUAUGGAUGUAAGGAAUUACCAUCCAUAGCUAAGAACACAAUGGGAGUUACAUCCAUCUACCAUCAGGAAGGGGCCCUAGUUGUGCACUCCAUCCUCCCCUGGAUGACUGUGUGCCCUGUCCCCUGCUCUCCGCCUGAGCUGUUGCCUCUGGGAACAGUGGUUGACCAACUUGCCAGAUCAGGACUGAAGGGCAUCUUUGGUGGCCUCAGGGUGAUAGAGAGCUUCGAGGUUCUCAUGACAUAACUUCAGGUGGUUCUCUGUUAUCCUGCCCACUAGAGGAAAGCCCUCUUAUUCCUCGAGCCCCUGAUGAAGAUCUACAGCUUGUCCAGCGUGGCCCUCAGGUCAGCCCAGGGAGCCGGGGAUGGUUCCAUCAUCAGCGCCAUGGCCACUAUCAGGGCUCUAAGAGGUCUGAGUCUGUGCUGCUCCUAUAACACCCAGCACCUGAUCGUGAGAUUCCACUCCCUGGGUAAACCAGUGUAUGGUCCAGCUGUCCUGUGGAAGAGGAGAGCAUCGGUCCCACGUAAGCGCUGCCAAAGGAGGCUUUCUACCACCAGGCCUUCUGGUUGCUUGCCCCAUGAGACCAGCCCUGUCAUCUAGUGGAAAAGUGUCCCGACUGAAAGACCCCACAUAACACACUGGGAGUCACAUCUGUCCUCCCCUAGAAGACCAUGUGCCAUAUCCCCUGGUCUGCACCUGAUCUGGAAGUGUUAUUUGGUUGCCUGUAGGAGCAGUUGUUGACCAACUCACCAGAUAUCGUCUGAAGGGCCAGGCUGUCUUUGGUGGUCUCAGGGUGAUAGAGAACAAUGAGGUUGUCAUUACACAACUUCAGGUGGUCCUCUGUCAUCCUGCCCACCAGGGUGGCUCUAAGGUCGGCCCAGGGAGCCGGGGACGUCUCCAUCACCAGCACCGUGGCCACAAUCAGAGCUCUGAGAGCAGCACAUCCCUGACUUUGGAAGCAUGGGUCUGUGCUGCUCUUAUAACACCCAGCACCUGAUCGUAAGCUUCCUCUUACUGGGUAGACCUAUGCAAGGACCAGCUGCCCACCCGAAGGAGACGAGAGGCUUGAGGAAUUUCAGCAGGAGGACCUCCACAACGGCAAAUAACAUCUCAUACCUGCUUCGCAAACUCCCAAGCCUUGCAAUCUCCUCACCACCACUACCCCAAAGCGAAAUUGCCCUACGUCGCCCAUCACCAUCACCAAGCCAGCUCCUGCUGAAGCCCAGCAAGCCCUCUGAGCUGUGGAGGCCUAAGGGGAGUCGGUCCACUAGCCCCACUGCUCUCCUGGACACCAUCACACCCCCUUCAAACUGUGGGGCCAGAGCCCAUGACCAUGGCCUCACCAUCCCUCCCUAUCUGCCAAUGACUGGAAUGAACUACAAAAAUCUCUAAAACUGGAAACACUUAUCUCUCUCACUAGCUUUAAGCACCAGCUGUCAGAGCAGCUCACAAAUUACUGCACCUGUACAUAGCCCAUCUAUAAUUUAGCCCAAACAACUACCUCUUCCCCUACUGUAUUUAUUUAUUUUGCUCCUUUGCACCCCAUUAUUUCUAUUUCUACUUUGCACUUUCUUCCACUGUAAAUCUACCAUUCCAGUGUUUUACUUGCUAUAUUGUAUUUACUUCGCCACCAUGGCCUUUUUUGCCUUUACCUCCCUUAUCUCACCUAAUUUGCUCACUUUGUAUAUAGAUUUAUUUUUCUACUAUAUUAUUGACUGUAGGUUUGUUUUACUCCAUGUGUAACUCUGUGUUGUUGUGUGUCAAACUGCUUUGCUUUAUCUUGGCCAGGUCGCAAUUGUAAAUCAGAACAUGUUUUCAACUUGCCUACCUGGUUAAAUGAAGGUGAAAUUAAAAAAAAUAAAAAAUAAAUCUCAGGGGUGGCAAUUGACCCAGAGGAGGAGAAGCAAAUCUCAGAUGGUGAGUUUCAAUGUUUUUUUGCACUACUAUUUAGAAAGUUAUAGAGGAGAAAGCUUGGGGCUGUAGUGAACGGAUGUACAGUAUUUAAAGUGGGAAUGGUGAACUGCAUUGUAUUUAUCCAAUGUGUUGUACACCUGUCAGAAGUUGACUAUAUUCUCUAGUCUUGCUUGCCAGACUCAUGGCGCUCCACACCCCAGUUGUGUGGGAGAUACACUGGGUGUUUCGAGAGACUAGGAUUCUCUAACUAUAGGAUUGUGUGCUGUGUACUGUUUUUACUCCUGACAGAGGCCAAGCAGAUGAAGAAGAACAAGAAGAAGAAGAUUUACGGAGUUUCUUCUCAAGGGUUUGGAAGACCCUUACAUCUUGCGUCCCCUCAUGCCACAUCAGGGACUGAAUCUAAUCAAAUUAAAUAAAAAUUAAAUAAAAUGUUAUUGGUCACAUACUCAUGGUUAGCAGAUAUUAAUGCAAGUGUAGCGAAAUGCUUGUGCUUCUAGUUCUGACAGCGCAGUAAAAUCUAACAAGUAAUCGAACAAUUCCCCAACAACUACCUAUACACACAAAUCUGAAGGGAUGGAAUAAGAAUAUGUACAUAUAAAUAUAUGGAUGAGCGCUGGCCAAGCGGCAUAGGCAAGGUGCAAUAGAUGGUAUAAGGUACAGUAUAUACAUUUAAGAUGAGUAAUGUAAGAUAUGUAAACAUUAUUAUUAAAGUGG